AUGAGACAAAAGCUAUCAAAAUCAUGCCAUGCCUUCAACUCACAGAAUGCUGAGCUCCUCACACGCCGAGUCGGAAAUACUUGCUGCAACUGCCUUGGGCCCCACUGCAAGACUGUACGUGUGAUGCUGUCUACUGAAACAUGCAGAAAUCAUCACACAAGGGAGGAAGAAGGGGGAAAAAAAAGCCUCAAUCCCUCUGCAAUCAUCGGGUGUGAAAUCAGCUUUUGUAACUCAAUAAAAUAAAAAAUGGACGUUACCAUGAUUUGUCCUGCUGUAACCUAUUUAUCAGAACAACUUUUAUUUAUUGACAUAGCUAUUCUCUAAUUGUGAAAAUAUUUGCAUAUUUAAAAUCGUUUAAUUCUGUUCUAACUAUUUUAGAUAAAGUAGCCUGCUUCUAGAGGGUUAGGCUUGAAAAGAUAGAUAUUUGUAUCCCAUUUUGCAGUAUUUCUAUGGCUGAUGCUGUUUUUAACUUUUUUAAGUCUUUAUGUUCUUCAAAUAAUUGUGAUAUCUUACAUUAUUGCAUUGUUCUUCAAAUAAACAGAUUUUAGAACUAAAAAUUCUAGUUGGGAUUUUCUGGUUUCGAAAUGCUUUAUUAGUCUGAUUUUUAUCUGGUGGUGUAUCUUUGUCAAGGAAAACUAAACUUUAGCAUAGAAUAUAAAAUUCUUCUGGGUAAAGUUUCCCAUACAUAUCUUGUGGCUGUUAAGGAAAUGUGGAAAGGUUUUUUAUUUAGAAAUUUUUAUUUAGAAAUUAUGAGGGCUCUUUUUAAAUUAUGCUAGUAGUACUUAGCUUUUAAAAACAUUUUUAAGGAAAAAAAUCUCCCUUCUGAAUAUGAUAGUCCUGUCAUUUUGGCUAGCCUAUGACAAUAUUUUUAUUUUCUUUUUAAGAUGUUCAAUUUGAAAAUAGUUGUAAUCUUG
rnacentral:lncRNA from 1 species